rnacentral:rRNA from 1 species
AAUGAACGCUGGCGGCGUGCCUAACACAUGCAAGUCGUACGAGAAAUCCCGAGCUUGCUUGGGAGAGUAAAGUGGCGCACGGGUGAGUAACGCGUGGGUAACCCACCUCCGAAUCUGGGAUAACUCCGCGAAAGCGGGGCUAAUACCGGAUAAGACCACAUUCCGUUCGCGGGAAGGGGUAAAAGCUGACCUAUCCAUGGAAGUUAGCGUUUGGAGACGGGCCCGCGGCCUAUCAGCUUGUUGGUGGGGUAAUGGCCUACCAAGGCAGCGACGGGUAGCUGGUCUGAGAGGAUGAUCAGCCACACUGGAACUGGAACACGGUCCAGACUCCUACGGGAGGCAGCAGUGAGGAAUUUUGCGCAAUGGGGGAAACCCUGACGCAGCAACGCCGCGUGGGUGAAGAAGGCUUUCGGGUCGUAAAGCCCUGUCAGGUGGGAAGAACCGUUUCGAUACUAAUAAUGUCGAAGCCUGACGGUACCACCAGAGGAAGCACCGGCCAACUCCGUG